rnacentral:rRNA from 1 species
UUUCCUACGGGGGGCAGCAGUGGGGAAUAUUGGACAAUGGGGGGAACCCUGAUCCAGCGACGCCGCGUGAGUGAAGAAGUAUUUCGGUAUGUAAAGCUCUAUCAGCAGGGAAGAAAGAAAUGACGGUACCUAAAUAAGAAGCCCCGGCUAACUACGUGCCAGCAGCCGCGGUAAUACGUAGGGGGCAAGCGUUAUCCGGAAUCACUGGGUGUAAAGGGAGCGUAGACGGCUGUGCAAGCCUGAAGUGAAAGGCGGGGGCCCAACCCCUGGACUGCUUUGGGAACUGUACGGCUGGAGUGCAGGAG